rnacentral:rRNA from 1 species
GAUGAACGCUAGCGGCAGGCUUAAUACAUGCAAGUCGUGGGGCAGCAUGAUGUAGCAAUACAUUGAUGGCGACCGGCAAACGGGUGCGGAACACGUACACAACCUUCCUUUUAGUGGGGAAUAGCCCAGAGAAAUUUGGAUUAAUACCCCAUAAGAUAAUGAGUUGGCAUCAUCUUAUUAUUAAAGCUUCGGCGCUAGAAGAUGGGUGUGCGGCUGAUUAGGUAGUUGGCGGGGUAACGGCCCACCAAGCCUACGAUCAGUAGCUGAUGUGAGAGCAUGAUCAGCCACACGGGCACUGAGACACGGGCCCGACUCCUACGGGAGGCAGCAGUAAGGAAUAUUGGACAAUGGACGCAAGUCUGAUCCAGCCAUGCCGCGUGGAGGAUUAAGGUCCUCUGGAUUGUAAACUUCUUUUAUUUGGGACGAAAAAAGAUCAUUCUUGAUCACUUGACGGUACCAGAUGAAUAAGCACCGGCUAACUCCGUGCCAGCAGCCGCGGUAAAAC